CUAGAUCUGGGAUCAGAUGAUCCAAUAAUCCCUCUUGAAUGGACUUCCCCUGGAGAAUUUUAGUCCAUUAUACUCAUCACGGUGUAAUGAAAUGGAUGCUGGAUUUGGAUUGAAGAAUUUGAGGCCCAAAGUAACAUGAGGAGUAAGCGGAAGAAGCAGAAACAUGAAUGCGGUCAAAUCAAAAUCUACACGGCAUGAUCUCAAUAAGCAUGGACAAUGGAAAACAUGUCAUAAGAUGGGAGAAGGGCAAAUGUUCCAAUUUUCUGAAAGGGGAAGAAAAUGGAAUUAACAAAAUA